rnacentral:rRNA from 1 species
CCUACGGGGGGCAGCAGUGAGGAAUAUUGGUCAAUGGACGAGAGUCUGAACCAGCCAAGUAGCGUGAAGGAUGACUGCCCUAUGGGUUGUAAACUUCUUUUAUAAAGGAAUAAAACGAGGCACGUGUGCCUGUUUGCAUGUACUUUAUGAAUAAGGAUCGGCUAACUCCGUGUCAGCAGCCGCGGUAAUACGGAGGAUCCGAGCGUUAUCCGGAUUUAUUGGGUUUAAAGGGAGCGUAGAUGGGUUGUUAAGUCAGUUGUGAAAGUUUGCGGCUCAACCGUAAAAUUGCAAUUGAUACUGGCAGUCUUGAGUACAGUUGAGGUAGGCGGAAUGCGUGGUGUAGCGGUGAAAUGCUUAGAUAUCACGAAGAACCCCGAUUGCGAAGGCAGCUUACUAAACUGUGACUGACAUUGAUGCUCGAAAGUGUGGGUAUCAAACAGGAUUAGAUACCCGGGUAGUC